GUUUGGUUAAGUUAGAAAGGGCGCACGGUGGAUGCCUUGACACUAGGAGUCGAUGAAGGACGGGACUAACGCCGAUAUGCUUCGGGGAGCUGUAAGUAAGCUUUGAUCCGAAGAUUUCCGAAUGGGGAAACCCACCAUACGUAAUGGUAUGGUAUCCUUAUCUGAAUACAUAGGGUAAGGAAGACAGACCCAGGGAACUGAAACAUCUAAGUACCUGGAGGAAGAGA
rnacentral:rRNA from 1 species